rnacentral:sRNA from 1 species
AUUAAAGGACUUUUCGUUAAUACUACUGUCAAAAGCCAAUUUAAAGAGAUCAUCAAAUUUGUCAUCCUUAAGGUUGCCAU